rnacentral:rRNA from 1 species
GCGUGGAGGAAGAAGGUUUUCGGAUUGUAAACCCCUGUCGUUAGGGACGAUAAUGACGGUACCUAACAAGAAAGCACCGGCUAACUACGUGCCAGCAGCCGCGGUAAAACGUAGGGUGCAAGCGUUGUCCGGAAUUACUGGGUGUAAAGGGAGCGCAGGCGGACCGGCAAGUUGGAAGUGAAAUCCAUGGGCUCAACCCGUGAAUUGCUUUCAAAACUGCUGGCCUUGAGUAGUGCAGAGGUAGGUGGAAUUCCCGGUGUAGCGGUGGAAUGCGUAGAUAUCGGGAGG